GAGACUGAGAACUAACUCAUGAAUUGCUCCUGGAAUGGUUUCUGGCACUUAGGAGGAAUGAUAAAUCAGUUUAAAAAUGAAAUUGGAAUGCCAUGCAAAUGGAAACGUUUAUCCUCUAUGAAAGAACAAGGAAUCAUCCCCUUGUAUCUCUGCUUUCAGGCUCCAGACUUCUACAUGUUGAAAUAAACCAAGAGAUCUAGAGAAGGGAAGGCUUUUCUUUAUAAUUGAUACAUGGUAAGGAAGCCAGCCAGCAAAGAAACUGCUUUCAGAUUCAGCAGGGAAGGAAUUUUACAGGAGUUUGGUGGUCAAAGCCACUCUGAGGACAGGCAGCAGAUUCUUGAAAGGGAAUCCACAAAGUUUCAAGGGUUCUGGCAGGAAAGUUUUCACCAGAACAAGAAAUGGGUUGCCGUGAUCAUCAACAAAAGGGCCUUAACGUUUUCUUGAGAAAAGUUCUGAAAGUUCUUUCCUAGUAAUGUAAGUUUUAAGUCAAGGUCACAUAGACUUUGCUGGAGCAAAUGGGCCCAGGGGAAAACGUUAUGAUAAAAGAAGGGUUCAAGACAGUUCAGAAAAAUACAGAUUUUUUUUAGGAUGUGAAUUGCAACAUGAUGAGAAAUAA